rnacentral:rRNA from 1 species
AGUGAACGCUGGCGGUAGGCCUAACACAUGCAAGUCGAACGGCAGCACAGUAAGAGCUUGCUCUUACGGGUGGCGAGUGGCGGACGGGUGAGGAAUACAUCGGAAUCUACUUUUUCGUGGGGGAUAACGUAGGGAAACUUACGCUAAUACCGCAUACGACCUACGGGUGAAAGCAGGGGAUCUUCGGACCUUGCGCGAUUGAAUGAGCCGAUGUCGGAUUAGCUAGUUGGCGGGGUAAAGGCCCACCAAGGCGACGAUCCGUAGCUGGUCUGAGAGGAUGAUCAGCCACACUGGAACUGAGAAACGGUCCGGACUCCUACGGGAGGCAGCAGUGGGGAAUAUUGGACGAUGGGCGCAAGCCUAAUCCAGCCAUACCGCGUGGGUGAAGAAGGCCUUCGGGUUGUAAAGCCCUUUUGUUGGGAAAGAAAAGCAGCAGGUUAAUACCCCGCUGUUCUGACGGUACCCAAAGAAUAAGCACCGGCUAACUUCGUG